AAAGAGCAAAUCGAUGUGCAAGGAGACAUUCUACUAGAUAUCGUAGAGUUCAUCACAGAAACAUGGCAGAAUAUCCCUGAGUCAGCUAUUUACUUCAUUGAGGAUGGAAAGAAGGUUCCUGCGUGCUGAAGUUUCUGUUUGAUUCUUUGCAUGAGGUUAAUGCUCCAAGUGUCUCAAUAAGUUCAACAUCUA